GUUAAACAUUCAUUCAUUCAUUGAUAUUCAUUGACUUGUGGCAAUAGUUGCCUAUGCCUUCUAAGUGUAGGCAAAAGGAAAUAAAAUUAUAAUAACUGAAUUUAAAAUAGUCCUAAAAAACCUGUUACAGUUAAACCUAGUGUUCAAGGUUAUAAACAGUGAACAAGUACAAAGGUAACAUAGUAUGUGCAUGUCUUGCAAAACAUUUUAGACUAACUGCAUCUGUGGGUCGUGCAAUAUUCAAAACAGGUCAAUGAAUCCCCUGGUUGAAGAUGUUAACUGGUGACAACCUAGCGCAGCACAUCUGAGUAAGAGGUGAGGUCCACUGGAAAUACCAUAUGGCGUGCGACACGAGCUGUGCCACCUUGUUUAGGUGUUUCGUUCUCAGCAAUGGUGUAGACCGCUUGAGUUGCAGGCUGGAGGGGUGUGCUCGAGUUCCCACCGAAAAGUCUGUUGUUGUAACGGCAGUCUCCCUCAACACUUAUCUUGUGAUCACUGGAAAUCUUCCAAGGCAUCGGGAACAGCUGGGUGAGGCCGAAGUAACCGCAUAUUGCCAGUCGUCCCCUGUGAAUCGGUGACCAGAUAUGAAGAUGCAACUCGACUCGUUGACGGCUUAGCCACUGCAUCAAAGUCUUCCCUGGACAGCCUGGUACAGGCCAAAUCAGACCCACACAGUGACACUCCUCAAAGAGUUAUCUCCCCUUGACCAGCCGUCAACAUAUAACCAAGUGACUUUCGUGAAGUGCAAAAUGUUAGUAUUCAUGUUGGAGCAAUAAAAUUUAUAAACCGAAAAAUAUUUUUUGUUCUU